AUUCUCGUGUUUGGAGUAAUGACGCAGCUAGUGAGGUAACCGAGAGGCGUCUAUUGCUGGUUGAAAACUAUUUUCAAACCCCUCUUCGGUCUGGGAUAGCCCUAGGUCGUAAAGAAUUUCUGAAAAACUAGAUAAAGC
rnacentral:snRNA from 1 species